ACACCAAAAGCGCGCGAUCUAACGGCCCAAAUUAAAUCAGCGAUUUUCACUUUCAUUAGUUUCUCUCUCCUCUCCUCCGCGAUUUUCUCUCUCCUCCAUUGCAACGAGUCCUCUGAAGUCUCCAUUGAAGCGGCUUUCGAGCUUUCUCUACUCCAAUGAAGCAGCUUAUGAGCAUUUACAACUGGAAGUAGCUCUGGAGGUGAUAGGGAAAUACUGGUGCAGCACCUGCUUGUCAAAGAAAAUGAUCUUAACCUUUUAGUGGAGCUUCAAAAAAGGGUUGUAGGAGGGGAGGAUUUAAGUGAUCUUGCUGUGGAAUACUCUAUAUGCCAAUCAAUAGAAGGUAUGUUGGUUUAUCUAUGUGGAUUAUUGAUGUAAUUCUGCCUUGAUACAAAAAGGUAAGCAGAUGGAAUGAAUUGCUGAGAAUAUAGCUAGAGGUCUUAAACAUAUUGAUAUUCUUACAAAAAAGGUAUUAUUCUUUAUGAACUUACUACUUGUGGAAGUGAACUACCAUUCCAAUUUAAUGAUCCUCAAAUUUUACUGUUUAGAAAAGCCAACCUUCAGGGCGGGAGUCUUCCUGUUUAGAAAAACCAUGUUUGCUAGUUUGCGUACUCCACCCAUUUCCUUGUGCUUUUCAUGAGAUUCAGUUUUUUUCCCCUUUUUCUUUGAAGGGUAUGGGUUGGUUGGGGCCUUGGGGGAAGGGGGUGGGGCUGAUGGGAAUUACGGGGAAGCUGUUGUGGACCCUUGUGUGUACAGCUAUAAUGAGAUGUUCAUUUAUCAAGCCUAACUAUUACUGCAUUUGAACUCUCUUGGAAUAAAUAUUCAGAAAUUGCCUAUAUCUUUUAAAUUUCCAGUUCACGCCUGGAUGCUUUUGUUUAACUCUCAAAGUCAUACUUUUUAGAUGGUUGUAUGCAUUACAGUUCGAUCAAUAUGGUUGUAUGCAUUACAGUUCGAUCAAUAUCUCUUAUUCUCUGAGUUGCUUGUUAUUAUUAAAAUGCCCAAUAAACCUCGUCAUAGACUGCUUUUGCUUAUAUACAUUUCUAAAUUUAUGAUGUUGGUAAAACACAAAAACGAAGGUAUUUACUUGGUCACUGUAAAAUGUGAGGCAGUUAUGUGUUGAAAUUUAAAACUUGAACCUGCGUGGUGAAACUGCUUUUCAGAAAGAGGGGUAAUGGGGAUCUUGAGUUGAGCAUGUAAGCUCCAAAAUUAGAUCUAGUCACAAAGUACCGGGAGGCUUCUACGAUGAAUCGUUUGUAUAUUAGGAUGGUUUUAAUUUACAAAUAGGAUCCCUAGUCUAGGCCAUUUAGGAUUUUAGGACAGGGCAGCUUUAGAAUGCCAAUAUUUUAAAUUAUUGUCACUCAAGGGAAAAGAGGAAGAUAGCCUGUUAACACGGAGCAGUUUUUGGCAUCUUAAUGGGAUCCAAACACAUCAGAUUAGCUCAUGCAGUUUUUGGCGUGAAAAAAGUAAAUAAAAAAGACUCUAAAGUGAAUAAAAAAGACUUUAAAGUAAACCUUUUAGCUCAGGUAGAGCACUAUGCGUAUGCAUAGAGAUGUAGGUUCGAUUCCUACAUAGGAUAUCUUAAAAAUUAAUUACAAAACACUCUAAAGUUAUUCAAUAUAUCGCAAAAGUAAAUCAAAAUAUCUCAAAAGUAGAAAAACUAAAAAAUAUAAAUUAAUACAGUAUAUGUCAAAAGUAAAUCAUAAUUACUCUAAAGUAAACAAAUAAUGAUAAAAAAAGUAAAUAAAAAUAUCAUUAAAGUAAAUCAAAUCAGCUCUAAAGUAUAUGAAUAAUAAAUUAUCUUGAAAUGAUAAAUGACUAAAGAAACUUUAAUUAGCUCAAAUGGUAGCUCACUUUGCGGAUGCAUAGAGGUGUAGGUUCUAUUCCUGCAUAGGUUAUCUUAAAAAGUAACUAUAAAACACUUUAAAGUAAUUCAAAACAUCUCAAUAUCAAAAUAGCUAAAAAGUAAAUCAAAAGUAAAUAAUAUUUACUUAAAAGUAAAUUAUUGACAAUCUCUAAUUGCUAUGAAUGCUUAAAUAUCUAGUAUAAGUGAUAAAACCUUCUGUCAUAUCUUUAAUCCUUGGAUAAGUGAGCUUGAGUUUGUAAGUAAUAAAAGUAGAUACAAAAUAAGUUGAAGUAAAUAAAAUAUCUCUUAAAUUAGAUACAAAUAAAGUUAUGUUCUUUUAUUUCGUAUCCGGGUAGGGGUUGGAGUUGGAGAUGGGGCAUGUCAGUGUUUGGUGAUAAAGUGUUGAACUUAAAAUACCUCAGCUCAAAAGUAAAUAAAAAAGGCUAAAAAGUAAAUUAAAACAUCAUUAAAGAAAAUAAAUAAUAGUAGGCUUCGGACAGUGAUCAUGGAUGAGUUGGAUAAGGUUGUAGCUGGAAAAGUAUGCUCAUACUACACUUCUCCUGCAAUUGUUGAACUUCUCCCAUUAAGAUACGACCUCCAACUAGCAAGAAGAUUGGGGUAUUUAAAAGUAAAUAAAAAAGAAUCUAAAGUGAAUAAAAAAUACUUUAAAGUAAACUGAAUGAAAUACACACAAAUAAUUGAAAGAAAUAAUUUCAUCUCAUAAAUAAAUCUACGUGGGAUUCGAACCCACAUCUUUUGUGCACUUGCACAAUGCUCUACCUAUUGAGCUAGUAGGCUAGUGUAUAUUGUCGAAGUAAAGAAAAUUACUCAAAAAGUAAAUAAAAAAAAAAAAAACGAUCUUAAAAGUAAAUAAAACGAUCUCAAAAGUAAAUCUAAUUUCAGACUUUGGCAUGGCAAGAAUAUUCCAAACUGAUGCAUAUGAAGCAAAUACAAACACAAACUGCAAGCUGUGAAUGAUAUAGAGCAUGCUGCUUCUUCCUACUGUUGUUGCUGCCUCUAUAUGCUGCUGUUGUUGCCUCAAAAUGCUCAUAUCCAAUUUUUUUCUACAAAAUGUCAAAACAAGCUGAAGCAACAUGUAUAAAGACUCCAUAUUACCGCCAUCGUCUCUAUGAUUGAUAUUCAAGAAAUGACUGCCCUCAUUGGACAUAUUGAGCACAUGAAAAAGUUUUAAAUGGCAGGAAUUCGACAUAUUUCCGUCAAACCAACUGCAUGUUCUUUUGUAGCCUUACACCUCCUACUAACAGAACUCCACUAACUCAUCAUCAUAUUAUAGUCUUUCUUCUUUCAAGCAUUUCAUCAAACAUGUAAUACUCAAUCUAAAGCUCUAAUUGAAUCCCCAAAUAAAAUGUCUCUUCAACAUCCGUAUUAUCUACUUUAAUAGAAAUUACAAAAGAGCUGAAACAAUUCGGCAGCUACCUUAUUUAAAUGAUGUUAAAAAUAAAAUCUUCAGAUUAACAUACAAACACUUGCCUGAAUAAACAGUAGAAAUUUCCGCAAUUGAAUUAGAAUAUUCAUACAAAAAACUGAAAUUUUUUUAACUUUAGCAAUCAAGAUAGCAAGCAUAAAGAUGUAAAGACCCUAAUAUAUCAAGUAAAUAAUUCACAAAACUAUAAUUCCAACAAAUUAGAUCAUAAGUACGCAAAUUAAAGAAUUGUAAAAACUCUAAUACGAAGUAAAUCAAUCGAAAUUACAAAUACCAAAACAAAAAUUUGUGAAAACCUUAGUUUUCGCAAUCGAAAUCACAUAAUAUAUUUUAAAAAUUCGAAUUAAACCAAACUCAACAACAAUAAUCGAAAUCAAAUUAACUUACCUGUUCAUAAAUAACAAAAAACAAAGAUCCAAGAACAACUUCAACGAACAUCUACAAAACUUAAGAGAUUGCACGUCAUACCUGAUUUUUCGAACAAAUAAAACCCUAAAAUCAACCCAAUUAGAAAAAGAUCAAUUCAACAAGGAACUAAUUUGAAGAUAGCAUACAAUUAAGUAAUUUUUCGAUGAAUUUCCGAGAUUGGAGGCAAAGUUGUGGAGGCGGAAUCGUAGAUGGGAAUCGCAGUUCAACCAAAAUCGUUCAGGAGAAGAGAGUACCAAAAACGAAUUCGCAAGAGAAGAGAGAGAAUAUGAAGGAGGAAAGAGAAAAUGUAAUUAAGAGAGACAAAGUAAAAUGAAAACCGGGUAGAUUGAGGGUAGUCAUUUAAAGCGCAAUAUUACAAAAAUGCCAUUAAUGAGGCGGGUGGAAUGUGAGCCAUUAGAUUAAGCGCGAUCAACGGUCCAUAUAAGUUCCUAGUUCCUAUUAUAGACCUAGGU